UACGAAGGGGGCUAGCGUUGCUCGGAAUCACUGGGCGUAAAGCGCACGUAGGCGGACUCUUAAGUCGGUGGUGAAAUCCUGGAGCUCAACUCCAGAACUGCCUUCGAUACUGAGAGUCUUGAGUCCGGGAGAGGUGAGUGGAACUGCGAGUGUAGAGGUGAAAUUCGUAGAUAUUCGCAAGAACACCAGUGGCGAAGGCGGCUCACUGGCCCGGUACUGACGCUGAGGUGCGAAAAGCGUGGGGAGCAAACAGGG
rnacentral:rRNA from 1 species